GCUCAUAACCACAUCACCUGGAACGUGUGCCCGAUCUCAUCAGAUCUUGGCAGCUAAGCAGGCCUAAGCCUGGAUAGUUUAGGAUGGAUGCCCACCAUGCACAAAACAAGUGUUGUUGAUU
rnacentral:rRNA from 1 species